GGGCCGUUAGCUCAAUUGGUAGAGCAACUGACUCUUAAUCAGUAGGUUGCAGGUUCAAGUCCUGCACGGCCCA
rnacentral:tRNA from 1 species